AGCUGGUAUCGACGUCUAUCUUCUGAUUUCCAUUUUCGCAAUGUACUAAUGGGGAAAAAGACGGUAGAAGUAUUCGUGAAAACUCGGUAAUUGAUUCGGGUAUCUGAGGAGAAAAUAAGGUUCAAUUUUACGUACCACAACUGGCUGGUACUUUCGUUGCGAUACCAGCUUCUCGGCAUACGGAGAAGUAAGCCAUAGCCAUGUUACAACUGCCCUCCUUUUUGUCGCCAGCCAUCGAAGCGUGGUCACAGGCCUGACGGUAUGGACCUGGAUUUACGAAGUUGAAGCAAGGGCUGAAAGGCGACCUGCCGCUGAAGAAUUCUGUGCACGUAGCGUCGUGAUGAUGGGCAUGAUGAUCGACGGUCUGGACGUUCGGGCAUCCGGAAGUUAUCUUAAAGGAAUUUCCAAACUCGCCCUCGUUCUCGGUAACCUGGGAAAAAAUGCAUGAAUGAAUGAAUGAAUGAA
rnacentral:misc_RNA from 1 species